CCAGAGAACUUAGCAGAGAUGCUUUGGUGCCUUCGGGAACUCUGAGACAGGUGCUGCAUGGCUGUCGUCAGCUCGUGUUGUGAAAUGUUGGGUUAAGUCCCGCAACGAGCGCAACCCUUAUCCUUUGUUGCCAGCGGUUCGGCCGGGAACUCAAAGGAGACUGCCGGUGAUAAACCGGAGGAAGGUGGGGAUGACGUCAAGUCAUCAUGGCCCUUAUGGCCAGGGCUACACACGUGCUACAAUGGCGCAUACAAAGAGAAGCGACCUCGCGAGAGCAAGCGGACCUCAUAAAGUGCGUCGUAGUCCGGAUUGGAGUCUGCAACUCGACUCCAUGAAGUCGGAAUCGCUAGUAAUCGUAGAUCAGAAUGCUACGGUGAAUACGUUCCCGGGCCUUGUACACACCGCCCGUCACACCAUGGGAGUGGGUUGCAAAAGAAGUAGGUAGCUUAACCUUCGGGAGGGCGCUUACCACUUUGUGAUUCAUGACUGGGGUGAAGUCGUAACAAGGUAGGCGUAGUGCU
rnacentral:rRNA from 1 species